UACGUAGGGGCCGAGCGUUGUCCGGAGUUACUGGGCGUAAAGCGCGCGCAGGCGGCCACUUAAGCCCGGCGUGAAAGCCCCCGGCUCAACCGGGGAGGGUCGUCGGGGACUGGGUGGCUUGAGGACGGCAGGGGCUGGUGGAAUCCCCGGUGUAGUGGUGAAAUGCGUAGAGAUCGGGGGGAGCACCCGUGGCGAAGGCGGCCAGCUGGGCCGGUCCUGACGCUGAGGCGCGAAGGCGUGGGGAGCGAACGGG
rnacentral:rRNA from 1 species